GUUGAAUUCCCAGCGCUACAUAUAUGCGAUGGUGUUCUUGGACAUCAUCAAUUGCACAUGCAAUUGCUUGCAGGCAUGACGGGUUUCUACAUUAUGUGUUUAGCUAUUGGCUUAUUCAAUACCGUCCAUGGAGCGAACGAUUGCGAACUCAACGCCAAACUGGAGCCAUGUGGAAGUAUCUGUGAAGCUAAAUGCAGUAAUCCUAAUAUUCGUUUGUGCAAAAUAAAUCCAGAGGGGUGUAAACUGGAAUGUCGAUGUCAGCGACCGUUUUUGAGAAAUGAAAAUACAGGAACUUGUGUUGAACCGAAAGAAUGUCCGAAAUAAAUAAAUAUUAUGGAGAUUUUUUAAAUA